UAAUUUGAGAGUUUGAUCCUGGCUCAGGAUGAACGCUGGCGGCGUGCUUAACACAUGCAAGUCGAACGAAGCAACUAUCUUGCUUGCAAGAGAGUUGACUUAGUGGCGGACGGGUGAGUAACGCGUGGGUAACCUGCCUCAUACAGGGGGAUAA
rfam:Anaerosporobacter mobilis DSM 15930 genome assembly, contig: EJ17DRAFT_scaffold00011.11